rnacentral:lncRNA from 1 species
UCGGUCACAUAAUCGGCCUCAGAAUUGUUCUAAGUGGUGCCUACUUAAACUAAAGGCUUGGUCCGAUAUGAAAGAAAAAGAAACUAAACCUUGUAAAGAAGCAGAUGGAGAGUAAAUUACACAAUCAAGCGAUUAAUGAAAAUUAAACCAUAUUUCAUUGUGAGAGAGUUGACAUCGAUUAGACCAGACCAACCUGUCAACACCC